UUUGAAUUUUUAAAAUUUUUAAUACAAAAAACAUAUGUUAAAUUGUAUUAUCAUGAAGUAUUAAAAUGAAUAUCAUUGUAAAAAAAUCGUGGCAUGUUAUAUUUUUAAUGUGAAAUUAUAUUUUUUAAUUUAUUGUUAAUGUAAAAAAAUAUAUUAACAAAUAUAUGUCGUUAAAUUGCUUUGCGAUUGAUUAUUUAGCUGUGGAUUUUUGGGAAUAUGAAUGCGUAUGAACGAGAGUUUUUACUUGUAAAGAGCGGUUAAAUAAUUGUCUUUCGAAUUGGUAUAAAAGUGGAUGGUAUAGUUUCAAAUAAGAGAUUUUGGUCUCGAUGUUUCAGUAUUGUAGAGGUUAUUGUUUUUUUGGACACGGUGUUAUAAAUAGUGAAUACUGACAAAAAAGUUAUCAUAGGUAUAGUUUGUAUAGGUAACGAAGGCGAAAUCAGCUAUUGGAGAGAAGUGUAGUUUUAUUAGCAAAUUGAUCGUGAUUAUAGAAAGGAGAUGGAAAAUUAAAUUUGAACGUUCAAUUCAUUAUAUUGGUAAAUAUAUAUAUUUAUAUUAUUAGAAUAUAUUUUUAAAAAUUAUUUUUUUAUGAAAUCGUAAAUGAUAUUUUUUAAUCUAUAUAUUUUUUAGUUUAUUAUUUUCAUUUAAAAUUUUGUUAUUUGACAUCUGAACAUUCUCAAAAGAUUACGAAAAAGGUUAGAUACAUUAUUAUAUGGUUGGAAAGAAUCGAAACCAAGUAGUAGCAAUACAAAACAUAUUAUUUAAUAUUUGGGUAAAAAUUUUAUUGAGAUGUUAUAUUUGUGAGGAAUAAUGUAUUAAAACGAAAUAUAUUUGUUUUAUCUCUUUAGGUAUAGAAAUGUUAUAGGAUCUUACGGAAUUAGAUUCCUCGGAAAUUCUCGAAUUAAGAUUGAUCUAGGUUAUUUUUUCGUUAAUAUUUUGUUCGUUCAUAUAUUUAAUUUUAUGAAUUGUUUUUGCCGUUGCAAUGGUUUUUGCAUGUUAAUCUAGUUGAAUGGUAGGAGAUAUAUGGUUUUGAUGCACAUUUAAAGAGGAUAGUAAUUUAAGUGUUUUUUCAGACAUGUUCUGUUACUAGCUGUGAGCGCAAUUGGAGUAUGUUUCAAUGGUUGUACACUAUUAAGAUGAAUCGAUUCAUUUCGGAGAAGUUUCAUAAAUUAGUUUACGUUCAUUAUAAUUUAAACUUUCGAGAGCGAUAAAUAAGAAGGAAACUUGAAAAUUAUGAACCGAUAGAUUUAGACACAAUAUUUGUCACAAACACAACAGACCAAUGGGUAGUAGAAGAGGCGGCAACGUUGCACAAGAGAGUGAAACUGUCAAUCAACGUAUCUACAAUUCGUCGGAGAUGCCGGUGAUAUUAUACUUAGUGAGGGAGUGGGAAGGGAGUCUAAAAGAAAAUGAGAGAGAUGAUGAUUCUAAAGUCAUUCUAUCUCAGCCAUAUUAUUUACAUAUUGAGUCCCAAUAGCAACAGUGUAGGGAUGAGCACACGACAUUGUAGAUGAACAUGAAAGAUAGACAAGCUUCGGGAAAUGUCAAACGAAUUCAAUCAAUGGCAUCAGCGUCACCAAGAAGAGCAACGAUGUUGUCUGUCAUUUUAUUUUUAGAUCGUAUGUUAUUAAUUGUAUGCUUUAUUAUAGUCCAUGCAUGUUGAUAUACUUAUUCCAUAAUAAUUCUAUGUUUAUCUUUCUAUGUGAUGUAAAUUAAAUAAUAAGUAGUAGUUCAUGCAAUAAAAUAACAUAUUAAUAUUCGUAUAUUCAUGCAAAAAAAUGAAAAUUCUUAAUGGAGGAUCGUCAUUUCUUAUUAAAUUCUUAAAAAAUAAUAUUUAUAAUGAUUUUUAAUAAUUUUUUUUCGGAUUUUUUUGAAGCUUUAUUUUGACCAAUUCACUCGAUUUCCUAUUCGAAUCGUCGAUUCAUCGAUUUAGAUUGAUUUUUCAGGUGCCCGAUAUGGGUCACUUAUCCGUUUUUACACCAUUGAUUCAUUUAAUGACGGUUUUCUAGUAUUUUUUUUAUAAAAUAAAAAGUUUUUAUGAGGUUGCAACAAAAUGUAGAAUAAAAGAUGUACCUAAAUAAAUUUAUAAAAAAAAGUUUUUAUGAGGUUGCAACAAAAUGUAGAAUAAAAGAUGUACCUAAAUAAAUCUCCAUUUGAAAAUGUUGUUUUAGCUUCAAAAGCUUCGAACGACAUAUGAGGACUACUUUUUUUCAACAAAUCUAUCUUCCCAUGGGAGUAAGAUGCGGAUUUACUCCCUCCUUAAAAAUACACUUAUUUAAACGUGUUUUAGUUUUAAAAUUUUGAGAUUUGAAAAUUUAGUGUUGGGAUUUUUAUCGGGGGAGUAAAUAAAUAGCAGGUUUGAGAGAGAAAUCUUUCGUGUUGAGUUGGGCUGGGUAAUAGUACGGAGCACCUUAAAUAUUAUUUGAAAGCAUAGGUUUAAAAGACGGAUCGGUGAUCCGGAUCGGACAUUUCAAAAAACGAUCAGAAUCGACGAAUUGACGAUUUGGAUCGGGAAUCGGGCCGAAUCGUUCGGAUUAAGUUUAAAAAAACUUUAAAAAAUUUAUUAAAAUUCAUUAUAAAUGUUGUUUUUUAGGAAUAUAAUAAGAAAUUGGGGUAUUAUAUUAUUAAUUUUCAUUGUUUUUAUCGAUUUAUUAAUAUUGAGAUGUUUUUUUUUGUAUGAACUUAUAUUGACCAUUAAAUUUACGUCAUGUAAAAGAAAUCAUGAAAUUAUCAUAGAUUAAGUAUAUAAUCAUAUAUGGACUACAAUAAAAAGUUGACUAAAUCGAUGAAAAAUUGGUUACUAAAAUCUUGAAUCAACGAAAAACUUUAAUCUGUUAAAAAGAAAU
rnacentral:lncRNA from 1 species